rnacentral:rRNA from 1 species
GAUGAACGCUGGCGGCGUGCCUAAUACAUGCAAGUCGAGCGAACAGGUAAUGAGCUUGCUCCGUUCACGUUAGCGGAGCACGGGUGAGUAACGCGUGGGUACCCUACCUAUAAUACGGGUAUAACUUCGAGAAACCGGCGCUAACACCGGAGAACAUUCGGAACCGCAUGGUUCUAAAGUGAGAGAUGGCGUUGCUAUCACUUAUAGAUGGACCCGGGCCGGAUUAGCUAGUUGGUGAGGUAACGGCUUAGCAAGGCGACGAUUCGUUGCCGAACUGUGAGGGUGAUCGCCCACACUAGAGGGGGGACGCGGUCCAGGGUCCUACGGGAGGGAGCAGUAGGGAACCGGACGCAACGGGCGAAAGUCUGACGGAGUAACGCCGAGUGAGAGAUGAAGGCUUCCGGUGCGGAAAACCCGGUUAUUAGGGAAGAACCACCGUGUAAGGAAAUGUGCACGGCUUGACGGUAACGAGUCAGAAAGCCACGGCUAACUACGUG